AAUAAGCGCAGCCAUAAGUUUUCGCGCUCAACUUUAAUCGUCCGUCUUAUUUAAAAUUUUUUUAUAAUUAACAUUUUUGUUGUUAUAAGAUGAUAAAAUAUGAAUAGUACUUUACUCGUGACUUAUGUCUUUAGUUUUUUUUUAAAAAAAUUUUAAAUAAGACGAAUGGUCAAGGUUGGACGCGGAAAACUAUGACUGUACUUAUU
rfam:Oryza glumipatula chromosome 1, whole genome shotgun sequence.